UUUUUUUUUUUACUAUGUAACUAAUUUCAUAAAUGCUUCAUGUGCACUAAAGAAUUAGGUAUAUUUCCUAUUAUUAGAGGGUAAAGUUUGAUAUAUGCAUUAAAGCUACCAUAUUUGUUAUACUGUUUAGAACUCUUUUACAUCGUUUGUUAAAAUUGACGUGUUAGAUUUAGAAUCACGUAUUAUAGAUUUAUACAAUUAGUGUGUUUCUAUUUCUCCUUGUACUUUUUUUUUUUUGUACUUUUUUUUUUAAGUGAGCUUGUUUGUAUUUAUCAGGUAUAUCUUUGCCUAUCCUGGUUUUUUUUAGUCUCUGUAUUUGUUUGUUUGUUUGUUUGUUUUAAGAUUUUACUUACUUAUUCAUGAGAGACACAGAGAGGCAGAGACACAGGCCAAGGGAGUAGCAGGCUCCCUGCAAGAAGCCGGACUCGGGACUCCAUCCUGGACCCCGGGAUCACGCCCUGAGCCAAAGGCAGACGCUCAACCACUGAGCCACCCAGGAGUCCAAUCCUCUCUGUGUUUCACUUAAUUUUAAGUAUGUCUCUUAAGUAAAGCAUAGGUUGACUUUUGUUUUGUCUCAAAAUGUGAGUAUCUUUUUCUUUUAAUAGGUGAAACAAAGGGAUGCCUGGGUGGCUCAGCAGUUGAGCCUCUGCCUUUGGUUCAGGUCAUGAUCCUGGAGUUUCAGGAUCGAGUCCCAUGUCAGGCUUUCCAGAGGGAACCAGCUUCUCCCUCUCCCUCUGCUUAUGUCUCUGCCUCUCUCUCUGUCUCUCAUGAAUAAAUAAAUAAAAUAUUUACCAAAAAAUAGGUGAAACAAGUCCAUUUAUUUAUUUAUUUAUUUAUUGGGUUUAAAAAAAUUACUUAAGUAAUCUUUACAUCCAACAUGGGGCUCGAAUUCACAACCCCAAGAUCAAGAAUCAAUGCUCUACCAAUUAAGCCAGCCAGGUGCCCCAAAACAAGCCCAUUUACAUUUAUUGAUAUGACCUAUGUAUUUGAUCUCCACUGAAAUAAUACAAAGUAUAUUUUGUAACCAU
rnacentral:lncRNA from 1 species